CCCCAGGAUGGGCGGGGCCACCCGCCGAGUUUAAGCAUAUCAAUAAGCGGAGGAGAAGAAACUUACCAGGAUUCCCCUAGUAACGGCGAGCGAACCGGAAGUGGCCCAGCAUGGGAAUCGGGCUGCCAUGCUACAACCCGAAUUAUAGCUUAGAGAAGCGUCAUCAGCGACGGACCGGGCCCAAGUCCCCUAGAAGGGGGCGCUGUGGAGGGUGAGAGCCCCGCUCGGCCCGAACCCUGCCGCACGUCGGGUUGUUUGGGAAUGCAGCCAUAAUCGGGCGAUAAAUUUCAUCCAAGGCUAAAUAUGGGCGAGAGACCGAUAGCGAACAAGUACUGCGAGUGAAAGAUGAAAAGAACUUUGAAAAGAGAGUCAAAGAGUGCUUGAAAUUGCCGGGAGGGAAGCGGACGGGGGCUGGCGGUGCGCCUCGGCCCGAAGCGGAACAGAUGCGUCCGAUCAGUGGCUCGAGGCGCGGACUGUUGCAGGCCAGCCCGACGGCAAGAGCCCGAGCAAUUAUCGCUUGAUGAGACACCGUCGCGACGACCUCAAAAACAGCGCGCGCCGGCUCAGCAUGCCUCUUCGGGGGCUCCAACGCUCUCGUUGCAACGACCCAUGGGCUCCCCGUUCGAUCCGUCUUGAAACACGGACUAAGGAGCCUGACAUGCUUGCGAGCCAACGGUUGUCGAAGCCCGGUGGGCCCAAGGAAGCUGAUGCGCGGGAUCCUCUAUGCUGGUGCACCGCCGACCGACCUUGAUCUUCGUGUGAAGGGUUCGAGUGAGAGCAUGCGUGUUGGGACCCGAAAGAUGGUAAACUAUGCCUGAGCGAGACGAAGCCAGAUGAAACUCUGGUAAAGGCCCGCAACAAUACUGACGUGCAAAUCGUUCGUCUGACUCGGGUAUAUGGGCGAAAGACUAAUCGAAUCACCUAGUAGUUGGUUCCCUCCAAAAUUUCUCUUAGGAUAGCUGGAGCCCCGGACAGAGUUCUAUCGGGUAAAGCCAAUGAUUAGAGACAUCCGGAGCACAACGCUCUCGACCUAUUCUCAAACUUUAAAUAGGUAGAACGGCCCGGCUGCUUCGUUGAGCCGGGCUGCGGAAUCGAGGGCUCCAAGUGGGUUAUUUUUGGUAAGCAUAACAGGGGAUGCGAUAUGAGCUGGAAGCCGGGUUACGGUGCCAAACUGCGCUAACCUAAAACUCGCAAAGAGUGUGGUCGAUUAAGACAGCGGGAUGGUGGUGGUCAUGGAAUUUGAAAUCCGCUAAGGAGUGUGUAACAACUCACCCGUCGAAUCAACUAUCUUCGAAAAUGGAUGGCGCUAAAGCCCGCGACCCACACCCGAACAUCGGGGCAAUGGCCAGGCUCGUAUGAUAAAACUCAGGGCGCGAGCCCGUGCUGAGCGACCGUCGGUGUAGAUCUUGGUGGUAGUAGCAAAUAUUCAAAUGAGAGCUUUGAAGGCCCAAAGAGGGAAAUGUUCCAUGUGAACUGCACUUGCACAUGGGUUAGCCGAUCCUAAGAGUCGGGGGAGGCCCGUAAGAUAGCACCGCUUUGCGCGAGCUUUGAAAUGGAGUCAGGUUAAAAUUCCCGAGCCGGGAUGUGGAGACCGAUGGCAACGUUAGGUAGUCCGGAGACGCCGGCAGGGGCCUCGGGAAGAGUUAUCUUUUCUGCUUAGCAGCAUGCCUGCCCUGGAAGCAGCUCAGCCGAAGGUAGGGCCCAGCGACUGGAAGAGCGCCGCACGUUGAGCGGCGUCCGGUGCGCCCCCGGCGGCCCUUGAAAAUCCGGACGGUCGAGUGUCAUCCACGCCUGGUUGUACUUAUAACUGCAUUAAGUCUCCAAGGUGAACAACCUUUGGUUGAUGGAGCAAUGUAUGCAAGGGAAGUCGGCAAAAUGGAUCUGUAACUUUGGGAAAAUGAUUGUCUCUGAGGGUUGGGCUUGGGGGUCCCAGUCCCUAGUCCAUUGGCUGUCGGUGGACUGCUUGAGCUGCGUCCGCGGCGAGAGCGGGUCGCCGCGUGCUGGCUGGGGGACGGAUUGGGAACGACCUCACGGGGCCUUUCCUGGGCAUCGAACAACCGACCAGAACUGGUACGGUCAAGGGGAAUCCGACUGUUUAAUUAAAACAAAGCAUUGUGAUGGUCCCAGCAAAUUCUCACGCAAUGUGAUUUCUGCCCAGUGCUCUGAAUGUCAAAGUGAAGAAAUUCAACCAAGCGCGGGUAAACGGCGGGAGUAACUAUGACUCUCUUAAGGUAGCCAAAUGCCUCGUCAUCUAAUUAGUGACACUCAUGAAUGGAUUAACGAAAUUCUCACUAUCCCUGUCUAUUAUCCAGCGAAACCAUAGCCAAGGGAACAGGCUUGGCAAAAUCAGCGAGGAAAGAAGACCCUGUUGAGCUUGAUUCUAGUCCGACUUUGUGAAAUGACUUGAGAUGUGUAGGAUAAGUGGGAGCCGGCACGCCGGCGGAAGUGAAAUACCACUACUUUUAACGUUAUUUUACUUAUUCCGUGAGACGGAGGCGGGGUGUUGCCCCUCCUUUUGGCUUUCAAGUCUUGCUCCGGCAGGUUGAUCCGGGCGGAAGGCAUUGUCAGGUAGGGAAUUUGGCUGGGACGACACAUCUGUUAAAAGAUAACGUAGGUGCCCUAAGAUGAGCUCAACGAAAAUAAAAAUCUCGUGUGAAACAAAAGGGUUAAAGCUUGUUUGAUUCUGAUUUCCAGUGCGAAUACGAACCGUGAAAGCGUGGCCUAUCGAUCCUUUAGUUAUUCGGAGUCUGAAUCUAUAUGUGUCAAAAAAGUUAUCACAUGGAUAAUUGGCUUGCGGCAGCCAAGCGUUCAUGGCGAUGUUGCUUUUUGAUCCUUUGAUGUCGAUUCUUCCUAUCAUUGUGAAGCAGAAUUCACCAAGUGUUGGAUUGUUCACCCACCAAUAGGGAACGUGAGCUGGGUUUAGACCGUCGUGAGACAUGUUAGUUUUACUGUACUGAUGAUCGUGCUGCGAUAGUAAUUCAACCCAGUACGAGAGGAACUGUUGAUUCACACAAUUGGUCAUCGCGUUUGGUUGAAAAGUCAGUGGCGCGAAGCUAUCAUGUCAGGAUUAAGACUUAGCGCCUCUAAGUCAGAAUCCGCACUAAUGAAGCGGCGCCUGAGUCCGUCGAUCACCCUCUGACCGACAGUAGAGGCAUCACCCCCAAUGGCACGCAAGCCGGGCUGCGCCCGCACCAUUCUCCUCAUAAGGAUCGGUACGGCGGCUCUAAAUUGU
rnacentral:rRNA from 1 species